GAAGUGGGAAUAGCCCAGCACCGAAUCCCGCAGUCUCGUGCUGCAGGGACCUGUGGUGUUUAGGACGCCUAUUGCCGCAGCAGUCGGGUGCCGAGGUCCUCCUGAUUGGGGCUUCUCCCGUAGUGUGUGUCAGGCACUUACUGGCACCCGACGCAGUGGCUCAGAACGUCCUUGGAGUCGGGUUGUUUGAGAAUGCAGCCCAAAGCAGGUGGUAAGCUCCAUCUAAG
rnacentral:rRNA from 1 species